rnacentral:rRNA from 1 species
CAGAGGGGGCAAGCGUUGCUCGGAAUUACUGGGCGUAAAGGGCUCGUAGGGGGCCAACUAAGUCAGACGUGAAAUCCCUCGGCUUAACCGGGGAACUGCGUCUGAUACUGGAUGGCUAGAGUUUGGGAGAGGGAUGCGGAAUUCCAGGUGUAGCGGUGAAAUGCGUAGAUAUCUGGAGGAACACCGGUGGCGAAGGCGGCAUCCUGGACCAACACUGACGCUGAGGAGCGAAAGCCAGGGGAGCAAACGGG